CUACCUGACUCAGAUGAACUAGUUAGCCUGACACUGGCGGAGUUUGAUCAUCUAAUUACGAAGAAAAAGGUAUGUUUUGUUCUCUGGUGGUUUCUGUCAUCAGCAAACAUAAAGGAACAUUUGUAAUAUGUUAAUAUUUUCAUGAGGAACUGAUGUGACAUUACAAUUUCUAUGGACACAACCAAUCAAAAGUUGAAAAUAAUUCUGCAAUAACUUGGUGUCUUUCUUUUGAUUACAUCGUGCUCAUGCAAGAAUUGCUCAAUUUUAGUUCUUAUUAAAAGUGUACUAUGAAAGACAUUUCUGUACUGACUUUGUUGUCUGCCUGUCGUGGACUGCAUAUUUAAAGAUAAGCUAUCCCAUAUGGUGUUCAUUUAGUCUCUUACUCAUACUUUGAAAAAUAUUAAACCUGUCUUUAUGGUAUGAACAUUGUAUGUUCACUUUGUUUGCAGGUUGAAAAGAAAGAGGACAUCAUUGAUGUGGUUAACCCAUGUACAAAAAAGGAGAUUCUAGCAUAUGGAGACUCCAAUAUGCGAAAUCUUCAACGUGGAGAGAUAUUGCAGCUGGAGAGAAAGGGAUAUUUCAGGUGUGAUGUACCCUUCGUUCGUCCUUCAAAACCAAUUGUGUUAUUUUUGAUCCCAGAUGGCAGGCAGCAGACAAGUUCUAAGUAAAAACAUUUUGUUCUUUGAAUUACAAAUUGGUAAUUUGGAUAACUUUGUGGAACUAUUUUAAUGUGUACAACACUGUACACCAACCAUUUGUGCUAGACUUUGGUAGCAAGUCAAAGCGAUAUGGAAUCAUUUUAUAGUUAAUUGAUUUAUUAUUAACAUAGGAUUUAUGAUUUUGCUUUGGCGGAUUGUGAAUUUCUAUUUUGAGGCCAACACAUAAUUGUAUAUAAUUUAAGGGUGGGGUUUAUUUAUUUCUGGAGCAAGUAUAUACAAAUUUAGUUUAAUACUUAUUUUGUCAAUGGGAGAGUUUGGAUGGCAAGUAUUUAUAGUUGUUUUACUAUUCCCUCUCAGUGGAAUAAGUAUAAGGCAGGAAUAACAACUUAACAAGUCAAGAGAAUACCAUCGUUGCUGGUUUGAUUAACAAACUUACUUCUAAAUUUAAUUUCAAUUAUUAUGCAAAUGAAAAAAAAGCUAAUUUGUUAACAUAAGAAUAAGAAAAAGACAUAAAUGACGGAAGUGUUAUAACUAAAUAAAUUAAAGAAUAAAAAAAUAUUGAUUUCUAUAUGUAAGACUAUAUUUUAAAAGUUGCGAGUCUUCUAAAGAAUUUUUAUAAUAAGAAAUUAAAUUAUGAAACAACGUGGUGCUAAACAAGGAAGUACCUUUUUAAGACAAGAAACGAGAUUUAAAUGAGUUGGUCGGACAUUUGAGGGAUGCAGACGAGCAUCCAAACAUAGGCUUAGAAAAGUGUUGGGAUUUUUUUAGAGAGAAGCAAUUCUAAUUUUCA
rnacentral:lncRNA from 1 species